rnacentral:rRNA from 1 species
AGAUCUCAAAUCAGGUAGGACUACCCGCUGAACUUAAGCAUAUCAAUAAGC